GCAGCCUGAUCCAGCCAUGCCGCGUGAGUGAUGAAGGCCUUAGGGUCGUAAAGCUCUUUCGCCAGGGAUGAUAAUGACAGUACCUGGUAAAGAAACCCCGGCUAACUCCGUGCCAGCAGCCGCGGUAAUACGGAGGGGGUUAGCGUUGUUCGGAAUUACUGGGCGUAAAGCGUACGUAGGCGGGUUGUUAAGUUAGAGGUGAAAUCCCAGGGCUCAACCCUGGAACUGCCUUUAAUACUGGCAACCUAGAGUUCGAGAGAGGUGAGUGGAAUUCCGAGUGUAGAGGUGAAAUUCGUAGAUAUUCGGAGGAACACCAGUGGCGAAGGCGGCUCACUGGCUCGAUACUGACGCUGAGGUACGAAAGUGUGGGGAGCAAACAGGAUUAGAUACCCUGGUAGUCCACACCGUAAACGAUGAAUGCCAGUCGUCGGGUAGCAUGCUAUUCGGUGACACACCUAACGGAUUAAGCAUUCCGCCUGGGGAGUACGGUCGCAAGAUUAAAACUCA
rnacentral:rRNA from 1 species